rnacentral:lncRNA from 1 species
AUGUUAUGUUAAUGUUAUGUUAAUGUUAUGAGUGGGGCACGGCAGGAUCGCUGAGGCGAAGCCGGUGGGCGGGGAUUUGGGCGGAGCUUUGGGCGGAGCUUUGAGCGGAGCUUUGGGCGGGGCUUUGGGCGGAGCUUUGGGCGGGGCUUUGGGCGGAGCUUUGGGCGGGGCUUUGGGUGGGGCUUUGGGCGGGGCUUUAGGCGGAGCUUUGAGCUGAGCUUAAGUCAGGGUCGCGUCACGGCCAUGCCGGGCCUGAGUCGGGCGUGGUAAAGUGGGAAGGAACGAGCGCCAUGGAGUUGCCGGCUCCGCGUGGCAGCAGCGUGAUGUCGCUGGUCCCCGUCGUGGUGCUCUUGGCUCUGUGCCCGCUCCUCGCCCGGGCAGACCAGCCUCCUGUCACCAUCACGGUGACAGCGGCCAUCGGCGAGGACGCCUACCUGCCCUGCGGCCCGCGGCCCUGGGGUGACCUGCGCAGGGCCACCCUCAGCUGCACCCACCACAGAUGUCCCCAAGGAUGUGAAGCUGGACACGCUGAUGAGUGUUUGUGUCAUGGUGGCCCCAUUCGUCAUGGUGGCCAUCGUGGUGGUCAUCGGCGUGGUGAUGCGUGCCCACUGCCAGGGCCACUGCUGGGGGGCACAAAGGGGGUGCUGGGGGCAAAAAGGGGGUUCUGGGGGCACAAAGGGGGUGCUGGGGGCACAAAGGGGGUGCUGAAGGAGAUAAAGGUGAUGCUGAAGGGGACAAAGGGGGGUGCUGGGGGGGACAAAGGGGGUGCUGGGGGGCACAGAGGGGUGCUGGGGGGAUAAAGG